GUGGGAACAUGUUGAUGUGAGGUCUACAGGUUAACAUUCAGAAGAAGCUUGUCAUGUCAGACCCCAGGCAGACUUUUCCUGGUGUCACAGAAAUGAUGUGGAGAAACAAAGGGCAGUUCGAGAAAGUUGCAGCGGUCUCCCUCGUACCCCUGGUAACAGUGACAGCGGAACCUGUCGGACAGCAACUGGAGCUCGUGCUGAGAGUGCCAU